UUCUGAUCCUUCGCUUCCUCAGCUUCCCUUCCUGCUUAUAGCUACAGCUACAUGGAUUACAAUAUGCGUGCCCCAGCUGCACCACCAUACCUGGGACCACCGAUGGGACCAGGACGAUGUGCAGCACCACAGCCUGUUUACAACCCCUGUGUCCCCCAAGCUCAGGUGAUACAAACAGCCACGGUAGGAGGGACGGUGCAGCCGGUGACGACAACUAAUACUUCUUCAUCGAUGAUUUGCAAUUGUUGCCUUCAACAGUAAUGAUUCUUUGCCAAAAUGUGAUGUCUGGUUUUUAUUGUUUUCCUGAUUGACUUCACUUAAAAACCACUAAAUAUUGAUAAAUAAAAUCAAAGAGAGCUAUGUUGUGUGUCUAACCCAGCUGACUGCCAGUCAUCACCAUCAUCAGGGCGACACAUUCAUUGUAGUUAACAGCGAAAACACGCUGCAUCCGGACCAAAGUGAUUCCUUCCUUUGCUUGUGAUUCAUGAUUUGCCCCUAAAUGCACCAGAGACCGUGAACAAUGUAUAUCAUUUAGCUUAAUAAUUAAUAUUGGAUUUGUAUUUCACGUUUUCACGAGUUGACUUUCAUGUGUGGUAAAUAUCAGCUCAGGCGUGGCCACAUUCUUUUGCUUUGUUGCUGCAAAGAGCGACAUCCCACAACUAUGCAGGUAUGGCAAACAACGUUGUAAGGCUGGCCUGGUCAUGUGACUUACCAGCAGUAUAGCGGUUAAAGCACAUUGCUGCAUGUCAGAAGGUUGUCGGUUCGCCUCUGGCGCAUCUCUCUUGUGCACAUUCAUUUUUAAAAUUGAUACAUUUUACAGUGAUCCUCUUGGAAAUAUCAAGCAGUGUAGAUUGAAAUGUGUGUGCCAGUUGUUUUAUUUCUAUAUUUCUUUACAUGUCUCAUACCACCAAUAACAUCUGCCCGAUCUGUGUGUGUGUGAGCAACGCCUCAGACUGGAGCGUCUCAUGUUGACUCUUAGCUCCACCGAAUGAAACAGAUGAAACAGACUUUACAGCAAUGAGUGAUGAAUAAUACGCAGAACACAUGCCACACGUUUAGUUUAGGGAAUGACAAAGCAAAACACGGAAGUAAGUCAUGUUAAAUCGUGAUCUGAUGACGAUGCAAGUCGCAUGUGGCUCAGGAACCAUGGGUGGCUUUAUAGAGUCAAUUUGCGGAUUUAGUGGCAUUUCAUUUUUUUGUUGUUAAUGUCCUUUGAAGAGAGAGAACUUUAUAGCUGCAAAGGUUCAUUACAGGUCAGUUGAGAAGGGUUGUCUAGUGAGCCACAUGGUUUCUUUACUGUGCUAUGUCUGGUUGAAUUAACUUUCCUUAACUUCAAUUUCAAUCAUUCCUGUUAUUGUGAAACAAAAAUUGGAUUAAAGGAAUCUGUUUUAGCUUUUACUUUGGAGUCCUGUAGUUAUACUUCUCAACUGAACAGAAUGC